UACGUAGGGUGCGAGCGUUGUCCGGAAUUAUUGGGCGUAAAGGGCUCGUAGGCGGUUUGUCACGUCGGGAGUGAAAACUCGGGGCUUAACCCCGAGCCUGCUUCCGAUACGGGCUGACUAGAGGUAUGCAGGGGAGAACGGAAUUCCUGGUGUAGCGGUGAAGUGCGCAGAUAUCAGGAGGAACACCGGUGGCGAAGGCGGUUCUCUGGGCAUUACCUGACGCUGAGGCGCGAAAGCUAGGGGAGCAAACAGG
rnacentral:rRNA from 1 species